rnacentral:other from 2 species
AGCCGUCUGAAGUGUUCGUAAGUUCGCUUUAUGUAUUUUGACCUAACACUCUCUGAUCAGGGAGCCCAAUAGGUUUUCUUACGGCGCAAACGUCUCUAUAGGAGGACUUGCAAACUAAGAAACAGGGCACCCACCUGUAUUUAGCAGGCCAAAAUGAUCAAGCACUUAUAAAACUACGGCACUAUGGAUUCUAU